CAGUGUGCCCCAAGCAAAGUGUGCUUUAGUUUGAUAACCCGAAACUAAGUGAGCUACUCCAAGACAGCCUGUUAACAGGGCAAACCCGUCUCUGUGGCAAAAGAGUGGGAAGAGCUUUGAGUAGAGGUGACAGACCUACCGAACUUAGUUAUAGCUGGUUGCCUGGGAAUUGAAUAGAAGUUCAGCCCCCCGGGUUCUUUAUUCGCCUCAGUUUUACCCCUCCUGAUACCCGAAGAAACCGAGAGAGUUAGUCAAAGGGGGAACAGCCCCUUUGAACCAAGAUACAACUUUUACAGGAGGGUAAAGAUCAUAAUUACAGAAGGUUAAAUAUUUAGGUGG
rnacentral:rRNA from 1 species